GACGAACGCUGGCGGCGUGCUUAACACAUGCAAGUCGAACGGAAAGGUCCUGCUUUUGUGGGGUGCUCGAGUGGCGAACGGGUGAGUAACACGUGAGUAACCUGCCCUUGACCUUGGGAUAACUUCAGGAAACUGGGGCUAAUACCGGAUAGGAGCUCCUGCUGCAUGGUGGGGGUUGGAAAGUUUCGGCGGUUGGGGAUGGACUCGCGGCUUAUCAGCUUGUUGGUGGGGUAGUGGCUUACCAAGGCUUUGACGGGUAGCCGGCCUGAGAGGGUGACCGGCCACAUUGGGACUGAGAUACGGCCCAGACUCCUACGGGAGGCAGCAGUGGGGAAUAUUGCACAAUGGGCGGAAGCCUGAUGCAGCAACGCCGCGUGCGGGAUGACGGCCUUCGGGUUGUAAACCGCUUUCGCCUGUGACGAAGCGUGAGUGACGGUAAUGGGUAAAGAAGCACCGGCUAACUACGUG
rnacentral:rRNA from 1 species